AGUGAACGCUGGCGGUAGGCCUAACACAUGCAAGUCGAACGGCAGCACAGUAAGAGCUUGCUCUUACGGGUGGCGAGUGGCGGACGGGUGAGGAAUACAUCGGAAUCUACUUUUUCGUGGGGGAUAACGUAGGGAAACUUACGCUAAUACCGCAUACGACCUACGGGUGAAAGCAGGGGAUCUUCGGACCUUGCGCGAAUGAAUGAGCCGAUGUCGGAUUAGCUAGUUGGCGGGGUAACGGCCCACCAAGGCGACGAUCCGUAGCUGGUGUGAGAGGGUGAUCAGCGACACUGGGACUGAGACACGGUCCUGAGUCCUACGGGAGGCACAGGUUGCGAAUAUUGGACGAUGGGCGGAAGCCUGAUCCAUGCAUACCGGGUGGGUGAAGAAGGCCCUCGGGUUGUAAAGCCGUUUUGUUGGGAAAGAACAGCAGCAGGUUAAAACCACGCUGUUCUGACGGUACCCAAAGAAUAAGCACCGGCUAACUUCGUG
rnacentral:rRNA from 1 species